rnacentral:rRNA from 1 species
CUCAACCGCAGACGUGCUUCGGAUACUGCCUGGCUUGAGUGCACGAGAGGAGGGCGGAAUUCCAGGUGUAGCGGUGAAAUGCGUAGAUAUCUGGAGGAACACCAGUGGCGAAAGCGGCCCUCUGGCGUGCAACUGACGCUGAGGCUCGAAAGCGUGGGGAGCGAACGGGAUUAGAUACCCCGGUAGUCCACGCCGUAAACGUUGUGCACUAGGUGUGGGAGGUAUCGACCCCUUCCGUGCCGCAGCUAACGCAUUAAGUGCACCGCCUGGGGAGUACGGUCGCAAGACUGAAACUCAAAGGAAUUGACGGGGGCCCGCACAAGCGGUGGAGCAUGUGGUUUAAUUCGAGGCAACGCGAAGAACCUUACCCAGACUUGACAUCUCGGGAAUCCCUUGGAAACAAGGGAGUGCCCUUCGGGGAGCCC